CGUGCAUUUAAUGAACUAGCAAAAUGAAGUGUUUGUAACUGUUUCAGUAACAGGUUUUAACAAAUAAGGCUGCAUUAGGAAUUUUUAAAGAUGAGAGCACCGUAAGUUUUCAAGGAUGGGAAAGAUGAACAAACCUGUCAAGAUACAUACCAAAUGUGAAGGUAGUAGGAACUGCAAUCAGACUCAGUAUUUCCUAUGGUCAAAAGAUUAGUUUCAAGUUUAAAAGACAAUGAUUUUGAUAAAUUUUAAAUGCACAUUCUACAAAAUCUAGACUUUUCAGUUCCUCCUUUUCUUGCUAAAAGAGAUCCACACAUACAUGGACAUUCACACACAGAAGUAUGGCCUUUAUUAUUUAAAAUGCAACUUUCAGAUCAUAUGACUACUGCACAUUUUCUUCACUUGAAGGUUAAGCACUUUCCAAAAUCUCAAAUCUCUUGAAGAAACUCCUUCUUUUCUUCAAAAUAAUUCCGAAACCACUCAAUAUGUUCAAUCUUCUGCUUAACACUGAGGUAUGGGUUUUUUGAAAGCCCACAGAUGACCAGUUCCAUGAAGUGGCGAAUAGGUCCUUGCUUGGGAAAGUCUUUGAGGUGUUUCUCCAGAAAGAUAUGUUCGUGAAAUUCAGCACCAUCAUCCAUCCCUGCUUCAUUGUCAAUUGGAAACUCCCACAGUAUUCCUUCUUUUGUCCACUGGAUCAUCUCCUCAAAACCAUUCCGGGGAGGCUGCUCAGUUACUGCUGCAAUCUCCUUUGCAAAUUCCAGAUCCCAAAUUGUUGGUGAAGAUACUGUUUUCAGUGCGUUUUCCGUUUCUGGAGAAGCCUUAGUGAAUAUAUUAAGCCUUUUUCCUGCUUUAAGACUUCUUCCGGAGUCAGAGUGAGAUGAGGGUCUUCCAGGCUUGAUUCUUUGACCAUCCUCAUCCAUCUCCAAGGAGAUGCGAUUGGAUAUCCUCACUCCUCUCUGAGCUGGGGAUUGCCUCUUAACUGUCAUUUCCGAAAUAACGUUGCGUAUGUUAAUAGUUCCUCCCCUUCUCUGUUUAUCUGUGGUUUCUUCAUGUCUUCUAAGUUGUGCAAGUAAUUCUGAUUCUGCUUGUUCCUUGUUGUGUGGGAAGGAAGAUGCAACGGCAGAUGCAGCCUGCACCAGUUCUGGAUUUAAAGGCUUGCUUCGCUGAACAUCUUCUGUACUAUUCUGAAAUGUGCUACUUCCACCGUGCAGGCCUUCCUGCUUGUUAGUGGCUUGCUUUUUGAUCUCCUGUUCUUUUAAUUGUUGAAAUUUCCUCUUGGUGGUCACUUCCACUUUCAUAUCACCAAUCAUUUUUAGCAAUUUCUGCUUUGGUGUUUCUGCUGCACCCUCCUUUGAUGCCACUUUGGUGGUGCUGUCUGUGGGAGCAGUAGGUUCAUCUUCUGUAGCAGAGAGCACACUGCUAGUGCUGAAGAGUUUCUGCGUUCUGUGAGGCCGCCCGCAGUGCCGCGCUGCCCCGGCGAGGAGGAGGAUGCGGCCGGAGCCGCAGAGGCGGCCCCACAUGGCGCCCUCGGCGCGGCGCUCACAGC
rnacentral:lncRNA from 1 species